rnacentral:rRNA from 1 species
AACCCUCGCCUUAGUUGCCAUCAUUAAGUUGGGCACUUUUAAGGAAACUGCCGGUGAUAAGCCGGAGGAAGUGGGGAUGACGUCAAGUCCUCAUGGCCCUUACAGGCUGGGCUACACACGUGCUACAAUGGCAUCUACAGUGGGCAGCUAUUCCGCAAGGAUGCGCUAAUCUCCAAAAGAUGUCUCAGUUCGGAUUGUCCUCUGCAACUCGAGGGCAUGAAGGCGGAAUCGCUAGUAAUCGCGGAUCAGCAUGCCGCGGUGAAUACGUUCCCAGGCCUU